GACGAACGCUGGCGGCGGGCUUAACACAUGCAAGUCGAACGGAAAGACCCUGAGUUUGUGGGGUGCUCGAGUGGGGAACGGGUGAGUAACAGGUGAGUAACCGGCCCUAGAUUUUGGGGUAACUUAAGGAAAGUGGGGCUAAUAUCAGAUAGGAGCUCCUGCUGCAUGGUGGGGGUUGGAAAGUCUCGGCGGGUGGGGAUGGACUCGCGGCUUAUGAGCUUGUUGGUGGGGUAGUGGCUUACCAAGGCUUGGACGGGUAGCCGGCAUGAGAGGGUGACCGGCGACCUUAGGACUGCGAUACGGCCCAGACUCCUACGUGAGGCAGCAGUGGGGAAUCUUGCACAAUGGGCGGAAGCCUGAUGCAGCAACGCCGCGUGCGGGAUGACGGCCUUCGGGUUGUAAACCGCUUUCGCCUGUGACGAAGCGUGAGUGACGGUAAUGGGUAAAGAAGCACCGGCUAACUACGUG
rnacentral:rRNA from 1 species